rnacentral:rRNA from 1 species
GAUGAGCGCUAGCUACAGGCUUAACACAUGCAAGUCGAGGGGUAACGAGAGGAAAGCUUGCUUUCCUUGUCGACGACCGGCGCACGGGUGAGUAACGCGUAUCCAACCUGCCCCCAACUAGGGAAUAACCUUGCGAAAGUAAGACUAAUACCCUAUAAUUUCCUCAGAUGUCAUCUGACGAGGAAUAAAGAUUUAUCGGUUGUGGAUGAGGAUGCGUCUGAUUAGCUUGUUGGCGGGGUAACGGCCUGCCAAGGCAACGAUCAGUAGGGGUUCUGAGAGGAAGGUCCCCAACAUUGGAACUGAGACACGGUCCAAACUCCUACGGGAGGCAGCAGUGAGGAAUAUUGGUCAAUGGGCGGAAGCCUGAACCAGCCAAGUAGCGUGCAGGAUGACGGCCCUAUGGGUUGUAAACUGCUUUUAUACAGGAAUAAAGUUAGCCACGUGUGGUUAUUUGUAGGUACUGUAUGAAUAAGGACCGGCUAAUUCCGUGCCAGCAGCCGCCGUAA